UGUGAUCCUUUGUAUGACACCCCACCUUUGUUUGAUAAUUAUGAGGAUGAAUUGCUUGCUACUUGUAAUGACUUAAGCAAUAAUUCCUUUGAUUUUUAUGGUGGUAUAUGUUUACUUGAGGGAUCUUCCAUAAGAGGAGAAAGUGUCUAUUGCUUGGAAAUUUCUUCUUCUUCUUCUACUAUGUGUGACCUUAUUGUUGAGAGUACUUAUGGCGAUGAUGUUGAAACUAG
rnacentral:lncRNA from 1 species